rnacentral:rRNA from 1 species
AGGCCACAUCGACGGGGAGGUUUGGCACCUCGAUGUCGGCUCAUCACAGCCGGGGGCUGUAGUCGGUCCCAAGGGUGGUGCUGUCCUCCCAGUAAAUGGGUCCGCGAGCCGGGCUCAGGACUUCGUGCGACAGUUCGGUCCCUAUCCGGCGCAGGCGUAGGAAAUUUGGGAAGACCUGUCCGUAGUACGAGAGGACCGGGAUGGACGUACCUCUGGUGUACCAGUUGUCCUGCCAAGGGCAUGGCUGGGUAGCUAUGUACGGAAUGGAUAAGCGCUGAAAGCAUCUAAGCGCGAAG